GACGAACGCUGGCGGCGUGCUUAACACAUGCAAGUCGAACGGAAAGGCCCUGCUCUUGUGGGGCGCUCGAGUGGCGAACGGGUGAGUAACACGCGUGUAACCUGCCCCUGACUUUGGGAUAACUUCAGGAAACUGGGGCUAAUACAGGAUAGGAGCUCCUGCUGCAUGGUGGGGGUUGGAAAGUUUCGGCGGUUGGGGAUGGACUCGCGGCUUAUGAGCUUGUUGGUGGGGUAGGGGCUUACCAAGGCUUUGACGGGUAGCCCGCCUGAGAGGUUGACCGGCGACAUUGGGACUGAGAUACGGCCCAGACUCCUACGGGACGCAGCAGUGGAGAAUAUUGCACAAUGGGCGGAAGCCUGAGGCAGCAACGCCGCGUGCGGGAUGACGGCCUUCGAGUUGUAAACCGCUGUCGCCUGUGACGAAGCGUGAGUGACGGUAAUGGGUAAAGAAGCACCGGCUAACUACGUG
rnacentral:rRNA from 1 species